rnacentral:lncRNA from 1 species
GAGUGGGAUCAGCUGUUUACAGCAGUCGACAAUGAUAAACGGAUCAAUCAACAAACCUACAUUUUAUACUAAUAUAUUUUAACGUUUUCCAAGUAGGCUAUCGAUCAGAUAAAAUUAACUGCCGGACUGAUUGAUCGCUACAAAAUAUUAAAAGUUUUAUCCCUUUUCACCAGCCAACAUGCUGAGGAUUCAUUAAAAUCAGUUAUAAGGAACGAAAACGUAGGCGAAAAAUACUGGAGCAAAAUGCAGGAUUACGAGCCUUGCCCGCGUUUCGCUCAUCAGCUGGUCUACAAUUACGUGAAAAAAGUUCACUAUUUGUUCGGUGGGAAUCCAGGUCGUUCUUGCUUACCGAAAUUACGUUCGACUACUUUUGGCAACUCCGCUCUGCCGACCAUCCCGCAAACAAAUAUUACGAAAAUGCAAAUUAAUCAUACGAAAAUAUAAGUUCGAAAAACUCGCCAUGACGGACAGCAUCGAGGCUCUCUAGUAUCUUCAAAAUGAAGUUUCCGAUAUCAUUGAUAACGAUAACGAGGAGCAAACCAAAGAGUUUCAACUACUGGCAUCCGUCACAUUCCGGGAACAGGAGGAAAAAACGCAAGAAAACUUCAUGUCCGUCGAACCGAAUUGUAUGGCAAGUUGACAGAAUUUUUUUCCGAAUUGCUCACGCAGCCUCGGGACAAUUUAAUUGAUUUAUUGCCAUUAUGAUGAACGAGUGAAACCGGGUAAUCGACAACUCAUUGGCGAUUGACAAUGAUCAAUUGAAUUUGGAGUAGAGGAGAUUAGUGAGCGGUUCAAAAGGAGCAGUCACUGCGUGGCUCAAGAAUGUCCAAAAUUAUUGCGCAAAGGUCUUCUGGAGUUGUUCCCUGGCUGUGUCGAAGUGGCCUCACCGCAGUUUACCAUUAUAACUGUUGAUCAAAAAUUAAAUGAUCAAAGUCACCUGUGGAGCAGGAAAAUGAAAACUGAGAAGCUGGCUAUAGUCUUACAUAAAUAUUCUUGUGAUUGGUGAUUCAUCAUUGGCGAAAUUUCAGCUGGAUUUUGCACUGUUUCAAGAGCUAUAGCAACAACCGGGCGAGGUUCGUUCGGGGCUGGUUUUAACAGCGGCUGGUACAUCCGAUCAAGAAGCUGGAGAACGUAGGUUGGAAGCUGGUGCUAUGGUUUUUAUGACUGCUGUAACUGCCAGCCAUUGAAUUACGAAGAUGCACAAUCCGAAGUUCAGCCUCCAUCCUUCUACAAGGACGCUUCAUCGUAAAUUCAAGCUGACUGGGCAUCUCUGGGAACAAUCAGUACUUGGGAGGAUGUUGUUGGUUAUCCAAUCGUUAACGUGAAAUCCGUACUCUGUUUUCAUCAAGGAAUGAAUGCAUUGAUGAGGAAUUCAUACAGAACUUUUUUAAAGAAACUUGUUGAAUAUAACCUCAAAAAUUGAUAUUCCAUUACUGAAUGUAUCGCAGUAAAAUACUUCCGAGAAAUUACAUCACACCUGUCAGCUUAGUCAAAGAUGAGUCUGAGUUCUUUGGCUUAGUGUUGUAUAGGCUAAAUAUUCUCGACGAAGCGCUGAAAACAUCUGACAAUUCGUACAAACUCAUCAAAUCCGAUACGAGCCUCUGCGUGAUCUGGAUGACAUAGAGCUGGCGUCAAUCCAAAUUGGGAAUUUAUUACCAAGGAGUGCAGGUCGUGGAUGGUUAGAUGCAACCAAAACAGCAUAUGUCGAAUGUCGUUCUCCAUCUGUCAGUGGUGACAAUGAGUUGCCAACCGAAUUCGCAGUACAGGAAAUUAGUGAGUGGUUCAAAAGAAGCAGUCACUGCGUGUCACUUCAAAAGAAUGUCCAACAUUGUAGCGCGAAGGUCCCCUGGAGUUGUUCCCUGGCUGUGUAGAAGUGGCCUCACCGCAGUUUACCAUUAUAACUGUUGGUAAAAAAUUAAAUUCUCAAAGUCAUCCAUGGAGCAGGGAAAUGGAAAUUGAGAAGCUGGCUAUAUUUUUUGUUCUGACAGCACCUGACACCUGCACGCAGUCUAAGAUGGGCGGUUAUUGGGCAGAUUUCAUAAAUAGCGGACAACCCUAUCUUAAUCUCCUCAAAAUUAGUACCUCAUACAAAACUGAUCAACGGUUCCGCUGCUUGGGCUUCAAAAUAGAGCAAAAGAAUCAUUAUCAAAUAAUAUCCAUUAAUAAUGAUCCGAGAGAGUUUCCCGGAAGUAUCUAUACAACCGUUUCUUCGAAUAUCGAGUUCCUCAAAGAAAGCCGCCUUAACGAUCAUCUAGGUCAGUCUCGUACCCUUUUGAAGAGAAUGUGAUACGAACCUGAUAGUUAGUCAACUAAAAUACAAGAAAUAUCAAGAGUUUACUUUAAUGGGCUCCGAGUAAUCAGGGGAUAAAAAUCAAGUAACGAUUCUUGCUGAAGUCUUGUGACAGCUGGAAAACGCAACGAGAUUCAUUGAACGGAAGUCCUGGUCAAUUUGAUGAUUUAGGUGUACCGUUUGUUUGCAGUAUAACUCCUCACUUAAAGAAUUUUAAUCAUACUCAGGAUAUCGUUGAUGCUAUUAUGAAACGGAAAGUAACUUUCGAUACAUUGAAGCUCGUUUGUGCGCUCAUCUCGACACUGUGGAUACCCCUUCCGAUGAUGGAAAGAAGUCAAAAGAGAUUUGAGAGGCAUCAAGGGUGACUUGAAAAGGCCGUUUGAAAAAGCAUGGAAAGGUUACGAUACCAAGUACGCAGAAAUGGAAAAGGAAUAGAAGCAACACCAAGUACCCAGAGGGUGACCUCAUCCGCUCGGAAGUUACACCCGCUGAAAUUGCUGACUAAAUGGAAAAAUUCGUUCGCAAAUGUCAAACGAUGGCCACACGAGAUUGACUAAAACUGCAAUAGAGUCAAUAGGGUUCUCGCGGAUAACAAAAAUGAUGCUCCUAACCAGAAAGUUGUACUGACCAAAGAUAUUGAACGUUUUCCCACCUAAAUGGAUAUUUAACUCGGUUAAAUAUCCAUGAGACCUCGGUUAAAGGCAUCGUCAAUGUUGAAGAGAAUGUUUGCUGAUUCCUCGGGAGAACGACAAAAAAAAAGGAUAAAUUUAUACCAAAUCCGCGAGAUUUGGCAAAGCGCUUCAAUUGGUCGAUGAAAUAAUUUAAUGGCAUCCUAGAUGCGAUCCAGGGCGAUUCGACGACGACGUCACUAGUAGCGGCAAAGUUAUCGGCAACUCCAAUGGCAAUUCGCAUGGGAACCUCGAGUGAUUGGACCGGUGGCUUAACGAGAUCCAAUCCAAAACAUAAUGCAAAAACCGUGAUGACGGGGAAAAGCGAAACUCGAGGACGAGGGAAUUGUUAAAACGGAGGUCUGAGUGAGAGAAGAUAAUACACGGAGACAACUUCAAAGACGGGCCAACGAACCCCAUUAUCGAGUGGAAGGACAGAGAGGAAAAACACGAUACAAAUAUGCGAAGCACUGUGAUACAUUACGAAAAAUGUAUUUACCAACGAGAAAGUCACCGAAAAUAAUACCAACGUAUAUACUCCAAUUGAUGCGCAAAUGAUAGACGCGUCAGUGGAGGAAACUUGAGAUCGACAACCUUCUUUACUCUCCAUUCUAUGAAUAUGGAUUUAUCUGUAUUUGUUAAUAAACUUGUAAUUCAUCGUAUCCAUAUACAUAUUCGAUAUAUACAAAUUCAUAACACCAUUUCCUUUCUUCUUUCGUUUGAUCUUUCAGCGAAAACGCAUUUAAAAAACGAAUGCGAAUAUGAAUUUGUCUGUAUUUGUUAAUAAACUUGUAAUUCAUCGUAUCCAUAUACAUAUUCGAUAUAUACAAAUUCGUAACACCAUUUCCUUUCUUCUUUCGUUUGAUCUUUCAGCGAAAACGCAUUUAAAAAACAAAUGCGAAUAUGGAUUUGUCUGUAUUUGUUAAUAAACUUGUAAUUCAUCGUA